GCGUAAGCGCACGCAGGCGGUCUGUCAAGUCGGAUGUGAAAUCCCCGGGCUCUUCCUGGGAACUGCAUUCGAAACUGGCAGGCUAGAGUCUCGCUUGAGGGGGGUAGAAUUCCAGGUGUAGCGGUGAAAUGCGUAGAGAUCUGGAGGAAUACCGGUGGCGAAGGCGGCCCCCUGGACAAAGACUGACGCUCAGGUGCGAAAGCGUGGGGAGCAAACAGGAUUAGAUACCCUGGUAGUCCACGCCGUAAACGAUGUCGACUUGGAGGUUGUGCCCUUGAGGCGUGGCUUCCGGAGCUAACGCGUUAAGUCGACCGCCUGGGGAGUACGGCCGCAAGGUUAAAACUCAAAUGAAUUGACGGGGGCCCGCACAAGCGGUGGAGCAUGUGGUUUAAUUCGAUGCAACGUUUUUAACCUUACCUACUCUUGACAUCCAGAGAACUUAGCAGAGAUGCUUUGGUGCCUUCGGGAACUCUGAGACAGGUGCUGCAUGGCUGUCGUCAGCUCGUGUUGUGAA
rnacentral:rRNA from 1 species